UCCAUUUACAAUAGUUGCUUCAGAUUCCCUUCACUCUAAUCAAUUCAAGCCAUUGAAUGCCAUAAUUAACCAUCUUGAAUGCUAGAAUCAACAAUUGCUGCUUCAAUUUCUCUUCACUGGUAUCGAUUGUUAUCAUUUUGAUGGUAUAAAUCAGAGUGAGUUGUUAGAGCUUCAUCUUUACUUCUAUUUGUUUCAGAUCGUUUGCGUUCUUGGUCACUCACAAUUUCAGGUUAUUCGAUGACAAAGGAGAGACAAGUUGUGGUAGAUCAGGCAACAGCGGUGGAUCUGGACACCGACGGCGACGACGGAAUAGGUUUCCAGCAAGUAUUCCGGUGACUACAGUGAUUUGGAGAAGUGUUUAGGGAAUAGCAGCGGUUUCGGGAAGCUUUGGUGGAAUGGUGGUCGUGUGAGCAGGUGGAUAAUGGGAUUGCGUCGACUUCAGGAUACUAGGAUACUGAUGGUAAAUUGAUAAUUGAGAUUGUGGUAUGCAUUUUUGUUAGUUUUGUUGUUCACCUUGAAUCUAGAAAUAAGGUAGGGUUUACACAGGUAUUGAAAGUUACUGAACUUGACAGCUACCAGACGCUGGUUAGACCACUUGAUCUUUCUCUCUUUUCAGCCGCAUUGAUACGCUACAACGGUAUUACUGCUGGCGACGUUGUUUCCUGCCCAACAUUCUCUGAGAUUGUAGAUAAGGUUUACGACAUCUUGCAAGCAAGAGUGUGGGCGGGUCUCAAUAUAGUGGAGUUUGAUUGUGUGAGGUUAAAGGAGGCGUAUGCGCAGAUAAACCAAAAACUUCCUGUACCCAAGGGAACCAUGGAUACAUUGAAAUUGUUGACUGGGACGUUUGGGAGGAGAACCGAUAACAUGAAGGAAAUAAAGAAAAGUGAUGAUUCUGAAGAGACAUUGCUUGAAAACAAAAGUCCCGAGGUGGAGGCAGUAGAAAUGCUGGUAAAAUGGAAGAAGAGAAAGGCGUCUGUUUCAGGUGAGUAGCUUUAUCACAAGAUUCAUUAUCAUUUGCAUGCUCCAGUGCAUAAUCUACAAUCCCUCUCAACCCAGAUUCCCACAACCUCCUAACAGUCUGGCCCGUUUCAACGGUACCCACACCCGCCACAAAAUGAUUAUACGCCGUAUGUUUAAUCAUCGUCAAUACCACAGCCCGAAACAACCCCACGUCCAUCAAUCGCGAGAAGUUAUUUGUUUGAUUUUUUUAAUUUUUUUAAUUUUUUUUGAUUUUUUUAUUUAUUUUUUUGAUUUUUUAAAAAAAAAUUUGAAUUUUUUAUAUAUUUAUAUUUUUAGCCUAUCAUGUCCAAAUCCAUCUUGACAAAAACCCAUCUUGACCUAAACUCAUCCUAACCCAUUUCUUAAUAAAAACAUUCUAAUCCAUUACCCAUAUGGCCAAACCUACCCAACCCACCCAUUUUGCCACCCUAGAAUAACCACAACAUAAUAACUGAGUUAACAUAUCACAUGACAUGACAAGCCAUUUUAGAGGGGGUAAAGUGAGACAAUAUCUAAAGUUUUAAGACAGCUGUACAUUUAUCAGAUUUCAUUGAAUAUCUGUUUACACGUGUUUCAUAUAGUAGAUAACAAAAUGAAUUUAAAUAGGUAUUUAGGGUGUCCAUUGUUUUUUAAUCAUUAGUCAUUACAUACAUAUGUGGUUUUAUGUGAAUUAGAACUUAGAACCAUGCGGUUAAAGUCUACAAAGUUAAUCUUUUUUGUGAUAUUGUAGAACCUGUAGUUCUUGUAGGAUUAUUUCACCACUCCACUUGGCAUAUGCAAUCGUCUUGAUAGCGGUAACGACAUAUGUAUUGAACUCUCUUUAUGCUCAUUAUUAUUUAAUUAAAUUAAUAAUAUAGGUGGUUGUUGUUGGUAAGGCAUGUGUAAGUUUGAUACUUUUUUAGUUGUACGCUCAAAAUACUGUUGAAGAUUUGGAAGACAACAUCGGGUCAGCUACA